AAAUUGAAGAGUUUGAUCAUGGCUCAGAUUGAACGCUGGCGGCAGGCCUAACACAUGCAAGUCGAACGGUAACAGGAAGCAGCUUGCUGCUUUGCUGACGAGUGGCGGACGGGUGAGUAAUGUCUGGGAAACUGCCUGAUGGAGGGGGAUAACUACUGGAAACGGUGGCUAAUACCGCAUAACGUCGCAAGACCAAAGAGGGGGACCUUCGGCCUCUUGCCAUCAGAUGUGCCCAGAU
rnacentral:rRNA from 3 species